CUGGAAAUCUUGUUAAAAUGUAGAUUCUGAUUCAGUAGGUUUGGAGUGGGGCCUGGGAUUCUGCAUUUCUAACAUGUUCCCAGUUGAUGCCAAU
rnacentral:miRNA from 1 species